UGGAGAGCGGCCAAGAGAUUUCCCGGUUCUUAGACAUGAUGCGCAUCUCCUUGGUGGACUUCUGAAUGGAGCUGUGGUGGACCAGCUGGAUGCUGGACAACCCAAAAUUCAACACAGUCUGUUAUUGGUGUAUAUUUUUGAAACAAAACAAAGAUGGGAUGAAUGAAAUACACCAACAGCGGUCAUAACAGACUCAAAUGGACACGUUGAUGGCAAUGGGGUGGAGACUCCCAAAAGGUGCCAUAACGACAGUGAAUGAGUGGUCAUCGCCGUGGCAACAAAUGGACGGAUGAUGAAAAACUGCCAUUUCGAUCCAGAUUGGGGCUAGCUUGCGGCUAACGCCUGCCUCUGCGCUCAACAUCAAAUCUGCAACUACAAUCAUCCAAGGAAUAAUUCUGUUAAAAAUGUUGAAUUAGAGAAAACUCCCAGGCUGUUCUUAAGAUCAGGUCAAAGCGUUAAAGUAUUACUUUGGCGCCAUCUUGUGGUAAUGGGUAGGCACGAUAGGCACUAUACAGGAAGUAAAAUAUAAUCCAGAUUGUGAGAUCAAGGAUUAAUGCUGAAGGACACUUUCAUAUGCCGCCAUUGAGUGGCAUCCAUAGGCAAUUACAGACUUUUAGACUUUUUUAAGGGACCAGUCACUCAUAUAUUUUGCCUAUUUGCAGCAGGGCUUGUUUGUUUCCAGAGACCAAGCACACUUACACCCCUUCCCUUCGGCAGCACAUGGUGUAGCCCAGCAUCAAGAGGAGCACGAGCGCCACCGCCGAAGGAACAGCCAGCGUCACGAUGAAGUCCGUGAAGUAGUCCCGGCUCUUCAGAGACUCCGAAGGGGGGUUGUACUCCCCAAAUUCAGGCAGCACCCCUGGACCCGGCUCAGGGCGCGUGACGUAAACUGGGACUACUUUGUUGACGUCAACCUGUAUUAUGAUACAGUGCAUCAAAAUAAAAGCAUCGACUUUGAGAACCUGAAGGUCUCACCGCACCA